UGGGGAAUUUUGGACAAUGGGCGAAAGCCUGAUCCAGCAAUGCCGCGUGUGUGAAGAAGGCCUUCGGGUUGUAAAGCACUUUUGUCCGGAAAGAAAACGCCGUGGUUAAUACCCGUGGCGGAUGACGGUACCGGAAGAAUAAGCACAGGCUAACUACGUGCCAGCAGCCGCGGUAAUACGUAGGGUGCAAGCGUUAAUCGGAAUUACUGGGCGUAAAGCGUGCGCAGGCGGUCCGCUAAGACAGAUGUGAAAUCCCCGGGCUUAACCUGGGAACUGCAUUUGUGACUGGCGGGCUAGAGUAUGGCAGAGGGGGGUAGAAUUCCACGUGUAGCAGUGAAAUGCGUAGAGAUGUGGAGGAAUACCGAUGGCGAAGGCAGCCCCCUGGGCCAAUACUGACGCUCAUGCACGAAAGCGUGGGGAGCAAACAGG
rnacentral:rRNA from 1 species